GACGAACGCUGGCGGCGUGCCUAAUACAUGCAAGUAGAACGCUGAAGGAGGAGCUUGCUUCUCUGGAUGAGUUGCGAACGGGUGAGUAACGCGUAGGUAACCUGCCUGGUAGCGGGGGAUAACUAUUGGAAACGAUAGCUAAUACCGCAUAAUAGUAGAUGUCGCAUGACAUUUGCUUAAAAGGUGCAAUUGCAUCACUACCAGAUGGACCUGCGUUGUAUUAGCUAGUUGGUGAGGUAACGGCUCACCAAGGCAACGAUACAUAGCCGACCUGAGAGGGUGAUAGGCCACACUGGGACUGAGACACGGCCCAGACUCCUACGGGAGGCAGCAGUAGGGAAUCGUCGGCAAUGGACGGAAGUCUGACCGAGCAACGCCGCGUGAGUGAAGAAGGUUGUCGGAUCGUAAAGCUCUGUUGUAAGAGAAGAACGAGUGUGAGAGUGGAAAGUUCACACUGUGACGGUAUCUUACCAGAAAGGGACGGCUAACUACGUG
rnacentral:rRNA from 1 species